UACGAAGGGGGCUAGCGUUGCUCGGAAUCACUGGGCGUAAAGGGUGCGUAGGCGGGUCUUUAAGUCAGGGGUGAAAUCCUGGAGCUUAACUCCAGAACUGCCUUUGAUACUGAGGAUCUUGAGUUCGGGAGAGGUGAGUGGAACUGCGAGUGUAGAGGUGAAAUUCGUAGAUAUUCGCAAGAACACCAGUGGCGAAGGCGGCUCACUGGCCCGAUACUGACGCUGAGGCACGAAAGCUAGGGGAGCAAACAGG
rnacentral:rRNA from 1 species